GUCACUUUCAUUCAACACUAUUCCCUGAUCACAUACUUAUUAUAUCCUUAUUUUGGGCAGCAUGCUCUGUGUCCCUCGUGGGGCUUGCCUUCCAGUAGGGUAAAGCCCCAAGCAGAUGAGCUACCAGCUAGUGAUAAGGCAAAGGAGACAAGCCAAACAGAAGAGGGGGUGAAUAGUCAGCUUUACAUCACUAUAACAAAGUACCUGAUGCAUGCCACUUAUGAAGUAAUGAGAGGUUGAUUUUUGCUGAUGGCUCCAGAAGCUUAAGUGCAAGAUCAGACAGCCCUGUUUGUUUGGGCCUCUGGUGAAGGAGUCACAUUAUGGCUGGAGCAUGGAUCAGAACAAGUGCCCAAGAUGUGAGCCUGGAAGCAGAGAUAGAACAAGAGAGACUGAGGUCCCUCAGGCCCCUUCAAGCACACACUUUGAUGACCUGAGGAUCUCCUCUGAGGCCUACUUCCUAAUGGCUCACAGCACCUCCCAGUGCUGCCACCCUGGGGACUAAGGCUUUGAGGGACACACUUGAGAGUCCCUUCUGGAGGAAGAGUUCGGGCUAGAGCUGCUCCUCUGAGGAUGGCUUUGUGAAGCCCAAGUGUCUGCCUUAGGAAGACUAAGUGUCUGUGGGUUUUAAGGGAUCCUAUUCACAUGCAAGCCAUAGCAGGGAGCAUAGGGUUGUUAGUGAUGAAGGCUGCUAUUUUAUUUAAGGCAGUUUUAGAAGGCUUUUCAGAUGAGGGGAUGUUUGGGCAGAAACCAGGAAGAAUGUUGUCAUAUUUUCUGGUGGAAAGCAUGCCAGAUGGGGGAUAACAUGAGCAAAACAUGGAGACCGCAAAAGCAAGGGACGGGGCCGGUGUGGCCAGCCCAAGAAGGGCAGAAGCAAGUGAUAACAGAUAAGAGCAAGGGAGGAGACAGAGGCAGGCCACGCAAGCCACAGAGGCCACUUGAAGGCUUUGGCUCCUGGCUCAGUGGGAGACACAAAGCCACUGAGGCAGUCAAGCUGAGGAUUAUAAGCUUUAAGGACCCUCUGUCAGUUCUCCAAUGGACAGAUGGUAGGAGCUGGGAGGGAUGUGGCCCAGACAGAGACCUUCCAAGCAGGCUGGCAAGAUAUGAAUGCACCUUGGACAGCCAGGCAGAGCUGGAAGCGAUGAGAGGGCUAGAUUCUGGGUGUGUUUUGGAGAUGAAGCCAACUGACUGUGUGAUAAACUGGUCAAGCACUGUGAAAGAAAGAAAUGAGUCCAGCAGGACUUCAACACUGGGUGGCCAUGCAGCCCCCACCCCACCCCAGGGAGCUCAACAAAGCCACUCUCUAAGCAAAGAGAAAACUCCCUCUCCAGGAGGAGUCGGGGCCAGAGCUAUUCCUCCUGGGACGGCUCACCCACUGAAUGUCUGUAGCUCCUUCCUCUCCUCUUGCCUGCACUGGCGGAGGGAGUCAAACCAUCCUCUGGCAGGAAGACAUCCAAAGGGAACUUUUCCUAGAAUUAUGUUUUUUGGCUCCUCUCUUUCAGCAUCUGCCAUGACACAGGUUCGGAUAAUAGCCACUGCCACCAAGUUGUCUAAGGCCUGGUCCUCUCUGGCUCUGUGCCUUUCAGAUCUCCAGAAGGUUUGAACACCGAGGAGGCUUCAACUUCUUCCUGUGAGGAGAGAGGAGAGCAGCUUGGAAGGCUCGUUCUCAGUACAGCUCAUUUUCUCAUGGGGAUUCCUCUCCCUCUGAAGCCUGCUUGGUGGACCAUGUGGCUUCAUUCAGGCACUCAGUGAAUACUCAAUAAAUGCUCCUCGAAUUGAGUGCGCCUUCUUAGAAUCCUCAGCAUUCCCACCAGGACGUCCUACACCCCAGUGACAUCCCUAAUAUCUCCGUACACCAUCUAGGCUUCAGACCCAGCUUCCUCCGAGACCACUGCUGCAUCUUUGUUUCACAUUCUCACAGGUUUUACUGAGAAAUGUGACCAUCCACCUGCACCCAGCAAACUAAAGGGAAGGAGGUCAGGAGCAAGGAUCCGCCCACAGAACGCAAGAGUCACAAAGCAGUGUUCAAAAGACUCCAGGAUUUGGAGCUGAACAUCUCUUCUGAUUUCCCAAAGCUGAUGGAAAUAUUCUGGAGGUAUUAAUAGAAUGCAGAUGUUGGAGAAUGCGACUUAGAAUUCUGCUGAACAAAUGACCCUGUUGGGAGGUCGUUUCCAGUCUCCGGGGACAUUCCGCAGAGGGCCCAGCUGAUUGUCUCAUAUUGAAACAACAUGUCCAAAACACAUUCCCG
ensembl:lncRNA